rnacentral:tRNA from 1 species
UCCUGGGUGGCUCAGUCGGUUAAGCAUCUGACUUCAGCUCAGGUCAUGAUGUCACAGUUCGUGGGUUCGAGCCCCGCAUCGGGGU